UGGUCAAGUUAUUAAGGGCGCAGGGCGGAUGCCUUGGCACUAAGAGCCGAUGAAGGACGCGAUAAGCUGCGAUAAGCUUCGGGGAGUUGCACGUAAACUUUGAUCCGAAGAUUUCCGA
rnacentral:rRNA from 1 species